rnacentral:tRNA from 1 species
GGGCCUGUAGUCUAUCGGCUAGGACGGCUGCUUGACGUGCAGUAGAGCCUGGUUCAACUCCGGGCAGGCCCA